rnacentral:tRNA from 1 species
CGUCGAGCGGGCGGGCCCGCAGCGAGGUGGCGCUGAUGGCGCCGCGCUUGUUGAGCAGGGCGCCGAUGUUCAGCUCGCCCUUGACGCC